UACGUAGGGUGCGAGCGUUAAUCGGAAUUACUGGGCGUAAAGUGUGCGCAGGCGGCAGAGCAAGUCGAGUGUGAAAGCCCCGGGCUUAACUUGGGAAUUGCGCUCGAAACUACUUUGCUGGAGUGUGGCAGAGGAAGGUGGAAUUCCACGUGUAGCGGUGAAAUGCGUAGAGAUGUGGAGGAACACCAAUGGCGAAGGCAGCCUUUUGGGCCAACACUGACGCUCAUGCACGAAAGCGUGGGGAGCAAACAGG
rnacentral:rRNA from 1 species